GCUGAUGCAUUGUCUCGUCGCUAUACUAUGCUUUCACAACUUGACUUCAAAAUAUUUGGUUUGGAGACCAUCAAAGAUCAAUAUGUGCAUGAUGCUGAUUUUAAAGAUGUAAUGCAGAAUUGUAAAGAAGGAAGAAUGUGGAACAAGUUUGUCAUUAACGAUGGAUUUGUGUUUCGUGCUAACAAUCUAUGCAUUCCAGCUAGCUCCGUUCGUCUUUUGUUGUUGCAGGAGGCGCAUGGAGGAGGAUUAAUGGGACACUUUGGCGUGAAGAAGACGGAGGACGUACUUGCUACACAUUUCUUUUGGCCAAAGAUGAGACGGGAUGUUGAGCGUUUUAUUGCU
rnacentral:rRNA from 1 species